rnacentral:RNase_P_RNA from 1 species
AGUUGACCAGACAAUCGCCGCCUGAAAGGGGGGAGGAAAGUCCGGGCUCCACAGGAUAAGGUGCCAGGUAACGCCUGGGAGGCGCGAGCCUAUGGAAAGUGCAGCAGAAAAUAUACCGCCCUUUUAGGGUAAGGGUGAAAUGGUGCGGUAAGAGCGCACCGCACUUGUGGUAACACAGGUGGCAGUGUAAACCCCACCUGGAGCAAGACCAAAUAGGAAUCCUAAUGCUGUGAUCCGCAGUUGGGUUCGGGUAGGUUGCUAAAGGUUCAUGGUGACAUGGAUCGUAGAUGAAUGAUUGUCCACGACAGAACCCGGCUUAUUGUCA